rnacentral:rRNA from 1 species
GAUGAACGCUGGCGGCGUGCCUAAUACAUGCAAGUCGAGCGAACGGACGAGAAGCUUGCUUCUCUGAUGUUAGCGGCGGACGGGUGAGUAACACGUGGAUAACCUACCUAUAAGACUGGGAUAACUUCGGGAAACCGGAGCUAAUACCGGAUAAUAUUUUGAACCGCAUGGUUCAAAAGUGAAAGACGGUCUUGCUGUCACUUAUAGAUGGAUCCGCGCUGCAUUAGCUAGUUGGUAAGGUAACGGCUUACCAAGGCAACGAUGCGUAGCCGACCUGAGAGGGUGAUCGGCCACACUGGAACUGAGACACGGUCCAGACUCCUACGGGAGGCAGCAGUAGGGAAUCUUCCGCAAUGGGCGAAAGCCUGACGGAGCAACGCCGCGUGAGUGAUGAAGGUCUUCGGAUCGUAAAACUCUGUUAUUAGGGAAGAACAUAUGUGUAAGUAACUGUGCACAUCUUGACGGUACCUAAUCAGAAAGCCACGGCUAACUACGUGCCAGCAGCCGCGGUAAUACGUAGGUGGCAAGCGUUAUCCGGAAUUAUUGGGCGUAAAGCGCGCGUAGGCGGUUUUUUAAGUCUGAUGUGAAAGCCCACGGCUCACCCGUGGAGGGUCAUUGGAAACUGGAAAACUUGAGUGCAGAAGAGGAAAGUGGAAUUCCAUGUGUAGCGGUGAAAUGCGCAGAGAUAUGGAGGAACACCAGUGGCGAAGGCGACUUUCUGGUCUGUAACUGACGCUGAUGUGCGAAAGCGUGGGGAUCAAACAGGAUUAGAUACCCUGGUAGUCCACGCCGUAAACGAUGAGUGCUAAGUGUUAGGGGGUUUCCGCCCCUUAGUGCUGCAGCUAACGCAUUAAGCACUCCGCCUGGGGAGUACGACCGCAAGGUUGAAACUCAAAGGAAUUGACGGGGACCCGCACAAGCGGUGGAGCAUGUGGUUUAAUUCGAAGCAACGCGAAGAACCUUACCAAAUCUUGACAUCCUUUGACAACUCUAGAGAUAGAGCCUUCCCCUUCGGGGGACAAAGUGACAGGUGGUGCAUGGUUGUCGUCAGCUCGUGUCGUGAGAUGUUGGGUUAAGUCCCGCAACGAGCGCAACCCUUAAGCUUAGUUGCCAUCAUUAAGUUGGGCACUCUAAGUUGACUGCCGGUGACAAACCGGAGGAAGGUGGGGAUGACGUCAAAUCAUCAUGCCCCUUAUGAUUUGGGCUACACACGUGCUACAAUGGACAAUACAAAGGGCAGCGAAACCGCGAGGCCAAGCAAAUCCCAUAAAGUUGUUCUCAGUUCGGAUUGUAGUCUGCAACUCGACUACAUGAAGCUGGAAUCGCUAGUAAUCGUAGAUCAGCAUGCUACGGUGAAUACGUUCCCGGGUCU